GUCUACAGCCACACUACCCUGAACAAGCUCGAUCCCAUCUGAUCUAAGAAGCUAAGCAGGGUCAGGCCUGGUUAGUACUUGAUGGGAGACCACCUAGGAAGACCAGGUGUUAAAGGUA
rnacentral:rRNA from 1 species